UCUGUGCAUAAUCUUCAUCAUUAAAACAGUGGCUGUGAAGAAAAAAUAUCUGUAAGUGACAUUUCGGCAGCUGACAGCAGGCAUUAAUUAGACAUCUGGUGAGUUCAGCCCAGACCCCCAGUGGUUCCGCCUGCUCCCUUGCUCUGCGUUUACUGCAGUCUAUGGUAAAAGAUUGGGCAUUAGGAAAUACUCAGUUACAAAUUGACAGAUUUCUACUGAACCCAAACAAGGUCUUCCAGCACUGGGCCUUACAAUCAUAUAAUUUAAAAACAAAAUCAGAAAUCUAUGGUUUACUCUGCUUUUCCUUUGCAGGCUGAUGCAAGGUAGAAGCUUUUGAACCUGCAAAGAAAAUAAUUCAACAGUACAAUUCCUUCUCCAAGACAAGACUUCUUUACUCAGCUUUUCCUCAAUUUUCCUUCCUUUGCUAUUCAACUUCACCAGUCGUAGCUAAGAUGAUGGAAACUGCCUGAGCAAAUAAUUACUUGCUUUCAUUUAACCCCUCAUUAUCACAAGUCAAACCAUUUUUGUUGCAAAAAAUAAAGUGCAGCAAAGUAGUCACCAUGAA